rnacentral:rRNA from 1 species
UACGAAGGGGGCGAGCGUUAUCCGGAAUUACUGGGCGUAAAGCGUGUGCAGGCGGGGUGGUAAGUGGGGUAUGAAAUCUCCUGGCUCAACCAGGAGGGGUUAUGCCAGACUGCCAUUCUUGAGUGCGAGAGAGGAGCGUGGAAUUCCGGGUGUAGUGGUGAAAUGCGUAGAGAUCCGGAGGAACCCCAGAGGCGAAGGCGGCGCUCUGGCUCGCAACUGACGCUCAGACACGACAGCAUGGGGAGCGAACGGG